UAGAGUUAGUAUGAUACUGGUUUUAUUUAUGUUUGAUUUUGACGGUGAAUGUUGGAUUUUGGGCCCAUGAGAUGCCUUUCAUUUUCGCACAUUCUCUCUUGGCCCUAGAAUCGCUCUCUUCCUCCUUGAUGUCUCUCUUUGCUAGGGCUCUUUGUAGUUCUAAUGGCAGUUUUAUUGACAGGAAUGUCCAAAGCUUUCUCAAAUAUCCCACCACUCUUCCAAACCUUUACGUGGUAGAGGGAUUUGAUUCAAUGGCUCUCACUUCAUAACCAUCACAGGUACCUGCAAAGCUAUUCUUAUGCUAUUCUUCGUUGAUGCCGCAUUAGAAUUUUAAGAUCUAUGCUACUUUAUUCACUCCAAUCGUGCUAAGGAUUUCGUGAAUGACCAAGUGUAUCUGAUCAACUCUUGAGGAUGACCACUAGAGCAACUCCAAUACUAUAACGGACGAUAUCGAUGUCGCCGAAGUCAUAGGAGAUGAAGCGCAAAGACGAAUGUCAUCCAUGACUAUUGGUGCUAUUAAUUCGUUGGUCGUGAAACAUGGAAUUUUUUUUUAAAUUUUAGCAAAAGUCUUAGCUAGAAUUUUAUCAUGAUGACUUUGAUUCUCUAAACUCUACUUUUUGAAAGUUAUUCACUUCUUAAGUGAAACAUGUAUUUGGACCGAGUUAGCUAAUAUGAUGGUAUUGACAUUUUUGUAAA